rnacentral:lncRNA from 1 species
UCAGACUUCGGGUUUCCCAUUCCCCGGAAGUAGAAAGAAACAGUGGCUUCUACACCUGAAAAACAAAUAGCAUAAAAAUAAGCACACUGAAAUAGAAUUAAAAAAAGCAUCCACCUGAAACUACAAAAUAGAAAUGAAAAGGCAAUGACAAAAAAAUGACAAAAUUCAUGUGAAUCAUACCUCAAAAUCAGUCUAAGAUGAAGAAAGGGAUUGCAAAAAUCAUAAAAUAAACUGAAACGACAGAAAAAACUUUGGGUCCUCUCUCGGAAACUAACUUGCUACUGUAGCGUGCGUUAUUUUGAGAUUUGGUCUCCCAAAGCCAAGAAAUAAAAAAGAGGAUAAAAUUGAGAUGAGAGUCUGUUCUGAAAGGAGAAUAAACGGAGGAAGGGAGGAAGGGAGAAAGGGAAAACAAACUGGCAAGCAGACAGAGAGGGAGAGAUAAACAGCUUAUAUAUGGGGGUAAGGGAUAUAUGGAAGACAGAGAGAUAAUAAAUAAGGGUGGUGAUUGAAGACAGGGAUAAACGACAAUAAAUGAGAUAGGUAUAAAAUUAAAAGAAACGGCUAAUAAAGGAGUAUUUAAUUUUCAAACUGUGGAAAACUAGCGGGAUGUGUACAGUCAGC